UGGCUCAGGACGAACGCUGGCGGCGUGCCUAAUACAUGCAAGUCGAGCGGACAGAAGGGAGCUUGCUCCCGGAUGUUAGCGGCGGACGGGUGAGUAACACGUGGGUAACCUGCCUGUAAGACUGGGAUAACUCCGGGAAACCGGAGCUAAUACCGGAUAGUUCCUUGAACCGCAUGGUUCAAGGAUGAAAGACGGUUUCGGCUGUCACUUACAGAUGGACCCGCGGCGCAUUAGCUAGUUGGUGAGGUAACGGCUCACCAAGGCGACGAUGCGUAGCCGACCUGAGAGGGUGAUUGGCCACACUGGGACUGAGACACGGCCCAGACUCCUACGGGAGGCAGCAGUAGGGAAUCUUCCGCAAUGGACGAAAGUCUGACGGAGCAACGCCGCGUGAGUGAUGAAGGUUUUCGGAUCGUAAAGCUCUGUUGUUAGGGAAGAACAAGUGCAAGAGUAACUGCUUGCACCUUGACGGUACCUAACCAGAAAGCCACGGCUAACUACGUGCCAGCAGCCGCGGUAAUACGUAGGUGGCAAGCGUUGUCUGGAAUUAUUGGGCGUAAAGGGCUCGCAGGCGGUUUCUUAAGUCUGAUGUGAAAGCCCCCGGCUCAACCGGGGAGGGUCAUUGGAAACUGGGAAACUUGAGUGCAGAAGAGGAGAGUGGAAUUCCACGUGUAGCGGUGAAAUGCGUAGAGAUGUGGAGGAACCCCAGUGGGGAAGGCGGCUCUUUGGUCUGUAACUGACGCUGAGGAGCGAAAGCGUGGGGAGCGAACAGGAUUAGAUACCCUGGUAGUCCCCGCCGUAAACGAUGAGUGCUAAGUGUUAGGGGGUUUCCGCCCCUUA
rnacentral:rRNA from 1 species